AGAGUUUGAUCCUGGCUCAGGACGAACGCUGGCGGCGUGCCUAACACAUGCAAGUCGAACGGAGUCAUGUUGGAAGCUUGCUUUUGAUAUGACUUAGUGGCGGACUGGUGAGUAACGCGUGAGCAAUCUGCCUUCAAGAGUGGGAUAACAUACUGAAAAGUGUGCUAAUACCGCAUAAAGUAUACUUAUGGCAUCAUAGGAAUACCAAAGGUUAAAUCCGCUUGAAGAUGAGCUCGCGUCUGAUUAGGUAGUUGGUGAGGUAACGGCCCACCAAGCCUACGAUCAGUAGCCGAACUGAGAGGUUGAUCGGCCACAUUGGGACUGAGAUACGGCCCAGACUCCUACGGGAGGCAGCAGUGGGGGAUAUUGCACAAUGGAGGAAACUCUGAUGCAGCAACGCCGCGUGAAGGAAGAAGGCCUUCGGGUUGUAAACUUCUGUCCUUGGUGACGAUAAUGACGGUAGCCAAGGAGGAAGCCACGGCUAACUACGUGCCAGCAGCCGCGGUAAUACGUAGGUGGCAAGCGUUGUCCGGAAUUACUGGGUGUAAAGGGUGCGUAGGCGGCUCAUAAAGUCAGAUGUGAAAUACCGAGGCUCAACCUCGGAGCUGCAUUUGAAACUUAUGGGCUUGAGUGAAGUAGAGGUAAGCGGAAUUCGUAGUGUAGCGGUGAAAUGCUUAGAUAUGACGAAGAACUCCGAUUGCGAAGGCAGCUGGCUGUAGCGCAACUGACGCUGAAGCUCGAAAGUGUGGGUAUCGAACAGGAUUAGAUACCCUGGUAGUCCACACGGUAAACGAUGGAUGCUCGCUGUGUGCCUUCGGGUACGUGGCCAAGGGAAACCAUUAAGCAUCCCACCUGGGGAGUACGCCGGCAACGGUGAAACUCAAAGGAAUUGACGGGGGCCCGCACAAGCGGAGGAACAUGUGGUUUAAUUCGAUGAUACGCGAGGAACCUUACCCGGGCUUGAACUGCAGAGGAAUGCGGUAGAGAUGCCAAAGCCCUUCGGGGUCUCUGUGGAGGUGCUGCAUGGUUGUCGUCAGCUCGUGCCGUGAGGUGUCGGCUUAAGUGCCAUAACGAGCGCAACCCCUUUCGCUAGUUGCCAUCAGGUGAUGCUGGGCACUCUGGCGAUACUGCCACCGUAAGGUGUGAGGAAGGUGGGGAUGACGUCAAAUCAGCACGGCCCUUACGUCCGGGGCUACACACGUGUUACAAUGGCGCAUACAGAGAGUCGGUUGGUGGUAACAUUGAUCUAAUCCUUAAAAUGCGUCGUAGUUCGGAUUGGGGUCUGCAACCCGACCCCAUGAAGCUGGAUUCGCUAGUAAUCGCGCAUCAGCCAUGGCGCGGUGAAUACGUUCCCGGGCCUUGCACACACCGCCCGUCA
rnacentral:rRNA from 1 species